AAAAAGCUCGUAGUCGGAUUUUGGCUGAGAACGGUCAGUCCGCCGUUAGGUGUGCACUGACUGGUCUCAGCUUCCUGGUGAGGAGGUGUGCUUCAUCGCCACUUAGUCACCGUGGUUACUUUGAAAAAAUUAGAGUGUUCAAAGCGGGCUUACGCUUGAAUAUAUUAGCAUGGAAUAACACCAUAGGACUCCUGUCCUAUUUCGUUGGUCUCGGGACGGGAGUAAUGAUUAAGAGGAACAGUUGGGGGCAUUCGUAUUUCAUUGUCAGAGGUGAAAUUCUUGGAUUUAUGAAAGACGAACUUCUGCGAAAGCAUUUGCCAAGGAUGUUUUCAUUGAUCAAGAACGAAAGUUGGGGGCUCGAAGAUGAUUAGAUACCAUCCUAGUCUCAACCAUAAACGAUGCCGACUAGGGAUUGGCGGAUGUUAAUUGAUGACUUCGCCAGCACCUUAUGAGAAAUCAAAGUUUUUGGGUUCCGGGGGGAGUAUGGUCGCAAGGCUGAAACUUAAAGGAAUUGACGGAAGGGCACCACCAGGCGUGGAGCCUGCGGCUAAAUUUGACUCAACAC
rnacentral:rRNA from 1 species